rnacentral:snRNA from 1 species
GGAUGUGAAGGAGGUUUGUUGGAAACAUCUGUCACCCAGUGGUGGCCAGGGGCAAUUCCAUUGAUCUUGCUGGCUAGGCAGGUGUCUCUUUCCUCCCUCCUCUGCUCCACAUGCACCACUCCUGAAGCUGCACAUUCAGUGGGAGAAGAUAACCUUUCCCAUAGAGGAGGACCAGGCUUUGGUCCAGGGCAUACUAGUAGCUGUACUCCGUUUGUUAAGACCUCCAAACAAGUGUUAUAAUCUUUUCUGAUGAUCCUACAAGGAUUUGUGGUACUUUUCAACAUACAACUCUCAAAGUUAUUAGAUGCUAAAUCUUCUCUCAUUG